AUUGAACGCUGGCGGCAGGCCUAACACAUGCAAGUCGAACGGUAGCACAGAGGAGCUUGCUCCUUGGGUGACGAGUGGCGGACGGGUGAGCAAUGUCUGGGAAACUGCCCGAUGGAGGGGGAUAACUACUGGAAACGGUAGCUAAUACCGCAUAACGUCGCAAGACCAAAGAGGGGGACCUUCGGGCCUCUUGCCAUCGGAUGUGCCCAGAUGGGAUUAGCUAGUAGGUGGGGUAACGGCUCACCUAGGCGACGAUCCCUAGCUGGUCUGAGAAGAUGACCAGCCACACUGGAAAUGAGACACGGUCCAGACUCCUACGGGAGGCAGCAGUGGGGAACAUUGCACAAUGGGCGCAAGCCUGAUGCAGCCAUGCCGCGUGUAUGAAGAAGGCCUUCGGGUUGUAAAGUACUUUCAGCGAGGAGGAAGGUGUUGUGGUUAAUAACCACAGCAAUUGACGUUGCUCGCAGAAGAAGCACCGGCUAACUCCGUGCCAGCCGCCGCCGUAA
rnacentral:rRNA from 1 species